UACGAAGGGGGCUAGCGUUGUUCGGAAUUACUGGGCGUAAAGCGCACGUAGGCGGCUUUGUAAGUUAGAGGUGAAAGCCCAGGGCUUAACCCUGGAAUUGCCUUUAAGACUGCAUCGCUAGAAUCGUGGAGAGGUAAGUGGAAUUCCGAGUGUAGAGGUGAAAUUCGUAGAUAUUCGGAAGAACACCAGUGGCGAAGGCGACUUACUGGACACGUAUUGACGCUGAGGUGCGAAAGCGUGGGGAGCAAACAGGG
rnacentral:rRNA from 1 species